GGAUUUUCUAGCACGGAUGCCUUUGGUGUCCCAAUUGAGAUAACGGUACAACGGCAGCAAUCCAGCAGGCCUGUUCCUAAUAUUUUGAUCAAAUGUGCUGAAUAUCUUAUAAGUACAGGGGUAAAUUCUCAGAAUUUGUUCAAAUCUGAAGGAGAUGAAGGAGGUUCAUUCA